GCGGGCGUCGUAUAACGGCAUUACCUCAGCUUCCCAAGCUGAUGAAGAGGGUUCGACUCCCUUCGCCCGCUCCA
rnacentral:tRNA from 4 species